rnacentral:rRNA from 1 species
UACAGAGGGGGCGAGCGUUGUUCGGAAUUACUGGGCGUAAAGGGCGCGUAGGCGGCCUUCUAAGUCGAACGUGAAAUCCCCGGGCUCAACCCGGGAACUGCGUCCGAUACUGGGAGGCUUGAAUCCGGGAGAGGGAUGUGGAAUUCCAGGUGUAGCGGUGAAAUUCGUAGAUAUUCGGAAGAACACCAGUGGCGAAGGCGGCUCACUGGCCCGUUACUGACGCUGAGGCACGAAAGCGUGGGGAGCAAACAGG